AUCAACAGAAAAGUGACUUCUAGGACAGGAUUUUAGAACAGAGAAACUAACUCAAUGCAGACUUCUCUGAUAAUACUAUGUGUACAUCUGGAAAUAACUUCUUAAAGCAACAGAAGCAAUGAACUAGAGUCAUCCUGGUCAUUUACAAUGGAAAACAUGAAGAACAAGAGAAAUGAGAGAACUUAUAUGUGGAAGGAGUCAACAGAGAGGAAGACAUUAGCAGUACAAGAGAAAUCUUUCAUUGGCCAGUUGGAUUUGGUGAAAAAUUGAAUAAAUCAAUGAAAAUGGUGACUCCAGUGCAGAUAACAUUAUUAGAAGAAUA